GUUUUGAUGAAUUGAGUGUCAGGUUAACGUCUAUGAUCGAAAAACUGGCAACUAAAUCUAGUACGUAUUCAAGAGAAACAAAUUGAAUGGGACAACAACGCGCUGACUUCAAAUUUCCCGCGGUGUCCGUGCGCACAUGCGCACACAAUACAAGUACUAUGUGAGCCAAGCUGAAAACAAAUUCGUCGCAUUUACUCGACAAAUUUUAAAUAUUGAAACGAAGAGAACAACUAAAAUUUGCUGUUCGAACCUUGAAAAGUGUCGAGGUGUCUGCUUCAGCCACGGUGUGCAAGAAGGUCUGAGAAUUUCUGCAGGGUCCACGCCACCAAGAAUGAGAUUUUUCUGUAUUUGAACGAUGCCCAGGUGGAUGGCAACGGCCUGCCCCGUCCACCACCGCCCAUGGCGUCCUCGGCCGUCAUCUGCUUCGUCAACGUAGAGAACGCAGAAGGCGGCGUGGUGGCUGCGACGCCCCAGGCCCUG